ensembl:lncRNA
GUCACCAGUUUGGUGUCUAGAGGCAGGAAGGCAAACGAAAAUUUCACAUUGUUUGAUAAGUUCUUCAUCGCAGGCUUUACUAAAAAGGUGGAGCUCUGCAUCAGGAGAAUUGGUUUUUUUUCAAUAUGGAUACGACUAAGGAGGAAGAUGUAGGAGAAGAAAAUCGAACCGUGGUUUGCCAAGGUGCUGCGGUUAUCCAAAGAGGCUGGAAAAGAAAGAAACAAUAUCUGACCUUGUUCAAUGACAUUUUGGUGGUAUCCAGUAAACUGUAAGUAUACGCAUCAUGCUUUCCUUACUAUAAGAGGCUACUCAGUGGAAAGGCCUUAAGUUACAAAACUGUUUAUGACUUCCUUUAUUUUUGAGAUUAUAAUUACUUCACAUUCUCCUUCCUUUUCCUCUUCCAUGUCCUUUCACAUCCUUACAUAUACUCCUCCUUAUUCUCUUUUGAAAUCAUGGCUUUCUGGUUUUUUUAUUACUCAUUCUUACACAUUAUUUCUAUGUAAGCUAACAUAAGAUACACAUAUAUAAUAGAUAUGCAUGGAUACAUUUAUAUGUACAGUUUCUAAGUACUUACAUAUAACCUAAUCAGUCAGUAUAGUAUUGCUUGUAUUUGUGUUUUCAGGAAUGUGUAUUUGGUAUUAGAUAAGCAAUCUAAUUGACAAUCCUAGGGGAGAUUUCUCUUACUCUCAAGUUUCCUUAGUGGCAUAUACUUCUUUGAGUAGGAUUGAUGUUUACUGGACUACUCCUAUAUAUUUCUCAAUUUGUUUUGACACAUUCUUUGGGCACAUUUAAAAAACUAAUUAAUUAAGGUACUACUCUGCUGUUUGAAUCUGGUGAAAGAUUAGCGACAAGCUACCAAGGAGACAGUUAUGCAGGCAUGUGCCCACAUUUCUAGCAUUUUUUAAAACUAACUUAGGAGUAUUACAACUGGUAAUGAGAGCCUUGUGAACUAUAUAGUGACACAUUUCUCUAAAUAAAAUAUUAAACUCCUGAUAAGCAGGAGCCUUCUUGCUUGGUGUUUACAAAUAGAUUACAGAAGCAAGAUUGUUGGUCGUAAGGGGCUACACAUGUAAGCCUCCUGACCUCAUAGCUUCCAGAUUAGCAUGAAGAGACAGGAAGCAGCUUCUAUCUCUCCACUAUCAAGGGAAACUGCUGGCACUAAGUCUUGCUUGGUGAUUCUGCAGACACUAGAGAAAACUGUUGUGAUUGAACGAAACUGUGUACUUGGUUAUAUUAGAAAUUAUGACCAUAGAGAUGUUUUCUGGGACCACAUCAUGUAUAAUCUCCACUACUUAUGAUCACAGCCUUCUAGAAUAUGUGAUGCUGGUAUUGAUACUAUCAAGUAAAUAUCUUAAGUGGUGUUCUCAUAAGUACAUAAAUUUAUCAGACAGACAUCAAUAAAAUAGUCUAUUCCAUUUUUGGGGGGACAGGGGUUAAAUUUUCUGAUCAUCAGUGAAUCAUUUUCCAGAAGAUCCAUUUCACAGAUUGUGAGAAAAAUAAAAUAUUCAGGUGAGAGUUCUUCUAUACAUUAUAAAUACACCAACUGGGUACGUUUUUCUGGCAACCCUGAUCAGUCAUGUAAGCUCCUUCACAGAAAAUGGUAAUUAGUGUCUGAGGCAGGCUGAAAAUAAAAGAAUGGACUGGGUGUCUGUCAAUCUGUCCAUCUUUCUUGUUUUUUGUACACAACUCCCUUUCCACAGUGGGAAAUCUUCACAUUUUAUUUUAAAAGAUAGUAAUCAACUCAUCGGAAAUGUAAAAAGAAAUAAACUGAUCAUUUGCCAUAUAAGUGUAGUUGAUGGAAGGAAGUAAACUUAACUUUGUGUUGAGAAUAAAGGAAACGGAAAUGGUUGGUUUCUUAAAGGCAGUACAUGUGGUCCCUUCUGUCGUGUUGCAAUUGUAAUUAAAACUGUUUUUAGAUUCUCAUUCACAUUAUGGAAAGAAGUUUAUCAAGUUUAUAAGGAGUGAUUAUUGUUAUUUCCAUUUUCAAGGAAGAUUAUCUCUUAUCAGACAUUGGAAUUAGAGGUUUCAGGUUCAAGCAUUUCUUGGGAAUUUUGAGAUAUAUAUAUAUGUAUAUAUAUGUAUAUAUGUUUAAAUGGUGAAUAUAAAAUGUAAAUAUAAACAUCUCAUUGUUGAGACAUGUGUGUAUGUAUAUCUUGAAGUACAUGUUGCAUGACGGCUUGUAUUUUAACUAUAGUAUGUUACAUUAGAUUAUAUGAGGAAUCUUUCUUUGUAGUGCAAUUAGUCUUCCCAUGUUUUGAAUAUUAAAGGUUUAUAUACAGGAUUUUUGAACCAUGAUUUAUUCUUGUGAUAUUCUGUCCCCUGAAUUUGAGAGGGAGUCAUUAUCUUCAGUUAUGUAGCCACAUAUUAGCUCACGAGUAUCUGAAGGAAAGUUCAAUACCUAGGUUUACACAGCAAAUGCACCAGAUAAUAUUAGGUCCAUCAUUAAAAAAAUACAAAAAAAAUCAUGAGUGUGGGGAGGAGAUCUGUCAGGAGAUAGAAUGGAAGGAAAAACUGACAAAAAAAAUCAUCAAAUGCAUUGUAUUUUAAUGUAUAAUUCUCGGAGAGCAAAUUACUCAGAAAAAGAAUGACAAAAGGAGAAAAUUUAUGCUUCAAAGAUUAUUGUUUCUUAAAAACACUUCUAAUAAUAUCAGAAUGCUUGAUAGGAAGACAUUAUUCUAACUAUUUGGCUAAAUUAUUGGAAAAAAGGAUCGCCUUUUUGGUUACUUGUGUGAUAUGUACUUUGCGGGUUUUCUACAGGAGCUACUGGAAUGAGGUUAUUGACUAUUUCAGUACAGGGAGAUAGACAACAGAAAAUUAAUUUAGUCAAAUAAAUAAAUUAAUUAAGUCAAACAAUAUUUUUGUUCUUAUUCUGGAAAGAUUUUUUCAUGUAAUUAAUUAAAAAAAAUCUUGAAAUAAUUUCCUUUGUGUAUUAUGGGAAAAAAACAAAGCAAUAUAGUUACUCCUUAACUAAAUCCAGGUAAGAAAUAUUGAUACAGGUGGCUUUCUGUAAAUGCCGCUGUGCUUAGAUUUAGCAAUGGAUGUGUCGUUUUUUGCUCUGGGGCAGGAAGAACUUGGUUUUACCACAACACCAACUACAAUGCAAAUUAAACUAACAGAUAUUUGAUUCUCUUUAUAGAAAUAAGAAAUUUAAGAUAAAACAUGUCAUUCCAUUGGCUUACCUGUGGAUUGGUGAUGAAGUGGACGCAUUCAGGUCAGACAACACUGCUGCUUCCAAGUCCAUUUACCUAUACUGGCCGAUGGGACAUGUUGUUGCCACCUUUCGGUAAGACCUAGAGUUCGGACCUGUGAUCACAGGAUGAUAACUUCAGAAAUUGUGGGUCAAAUUAAUGGAGUGUAAUUCACUUCCCAGUGAAUGAGUAUACUCAUUCUAAUAUUCUCCAAUUAGAAAACAAUAAUCAGGCUAUGGCUAUUGGUGACCAUUGAAGAGUGUGUAUCUAGUAACUCCUUUCACCAAAUGCUUUCAUCAUCCCAAAAUGUUUGCAAAAAUAGAAUCAAUCUUAGUCUGAUUAUGUACAGGAUGCCAACUCAAAUUUCCCCCUUCUAUGAUGAGCCUAGAUUUUUCUAUACUCUUCAUUAUAUCCAUUUCCACAUGUAGGUAGGUGCUUUAUGGUUUUUUGUUUUGUUUUUGUUUUUUGUUUUGUUGUUUGUUUGGG